UACGGAGGGGGCUAGCGUUGUUCGGAAUUACUGGGCGUAAAGCGUACGUAGGCGGCUUUGUAAGUUAGAGGUGAAAGCCCGGGGCUCAACUCCGGAAUUGCCUUUAAGACUGCAUCGCUUGAAUCAUGGAGAGGUGAGUGGAAUUCCGAGUGUAGAGGUGAAAUUCGUAGAUAUUCGGAAGAACACCAGUGGCGAAGGCGACUCUUUGGUCUGUAACUGACGCUGAGGCGCGAAAGCGUGGGGAGCAAACAGG
rnacentral:rRNA from 1 species